UGGCUGUGAUGACUCUUAGGACACCUUUGAGUUAGCCGUGAAAAUAACUUGAUGUAAAAACCUGAGCUAC